UAACGCGUGGGUAACCGUGCCUCAUACAGGGGGAUAACAGUUAGAAAUGACUGCUAAUACCGCAUAAGCGCACAGUGCUGCAUGGCACAGUGUGAAAAACUCCGGUGGUAUGAGAUGGACCCGCGUCUGAUUAGCUAGUUGGUGGGGUAACGGCCUGCCAAGGCGACGAUCAGUAGCCGGCCUGAGAGGGUGAACGGCCACAUUGGGACUGAGACACGGCCCAA
rnacentral:rRNA from 1 species